CGAGCUUGCAUGAGAGCAUCCCAGGACCACUGAACAUUCAGAGGUCUAUUUCUGGCAUCUCUUUCCACAGCACAGGCAGCCUUGCAGAAUGAAAAGUAUUUCUCCCACCUGCCCUGGCCUCUGCCCUGGCUCUGAAAGAGGCAGGCUGUGAAUGAUGGUUGUCAGUGUCUGGAGUUUUCACUGAAAAACAGUCCCCUGAAAUGGAAAGACACACAGAGGGGAGUGAUCUCAUCGCCACUGAUUUUUCCCAACUUUCAGUUUUGUAUCUCCAUGGUGGAACUCGAUACAGCAGCAUCCCUCAGUGGUUCCAGCCCAGAAGUGCAAGGGGAAGCCGGCUGCCUGUUCAUGAAUUCUGUAGCUCAAAAAGCAGAGGCCGAGAAAGCAAAAUUUCAAACCUUUGUCAGAAAGGGUGAGACCUUGCUCAGCACGAUAGCUGAGAACAGCUUCCUCCUUCAAUGCUGGUCUCUCUAUACUGACAGUUGACAGCUGAUGAUCCCACAUUCUCAGUCAUGCGAAUGACCUCACCUGAGCACCAGUUUGUAACGGAUGUUUAAGAGGAAAGCAAGGGAAUUAAAUGCUGCACAGGAAUUUGGCACUUCUGUAUAGAAAUAGAAAAACUAAAUGAAACUUAUAGUACCUUCCACUCAACUAAGAUUCUUGUGAAGCAAAGUAUAUCUGGGAAAAUAUAGUAAUAUGGUUAUUUUGUGUUCAUAGUGUGUGACUCUACUUAUAAGCACUUUUUAAUCAUUAUAAUCAAUCACUUUAAAGAUCUUAGAGGGAACUUAUUAAUCAAAAUUUAAGCCUUCUUUAAAAAAAAAAAACUUCCCAUAUACUAAUUUUGCACAGAAGCAAAAGAUUAGAUUGGGAUUCUGCCUGUUGUGGAGAGACAAAGACAAGAGUGCUCCAGAUUUCUGUGUUUGUGUUUUUACUUCAUACUUUCAAUGCGUCCGCAAGAAUAGACUUGUGUUUCUCUUCUUAAUACACAAUGGUUAGAGCUCACAGAAUGCGUGGUCUGACUCUUGGGGCCAGAGUUGCAUUGAUGGCACUUGAGAGACUAAUACAUAAUCCAGAGCUCCAAAUGUACACUGUGAAAUAAAACU
rnacentral:lncRNA from 1 species